GUGCUCACUUUGGCAGCACAUAGACUAAAAUUGGAAGGACACAGAGACGAGUCGCAUGGCCCCUGUGCAAGGAUGACAUGCAAAUUCGUGAAGCGUUCCAUAUUUAA
rnacentral:snRNA from 1 species